UACGUAGGGGGCGAGCGUUGUCCGGAUUCAUUGGGCGUAAAGAGCUCGUAGGCGGUUCGGCAAGUCGGAUGUGAAAUCUCGGAGCUUAACUCCGAAACUGCAUUCGAUACUGCCGUGCUUGAGGACUGGAGAGGAGACUGGAAUUUACGGUGUAGCGGUGAAAUGCGUAGAUAUCAUGAGGAAGACCAGUGGCGAAGGCGGGUCUCUGGACAGUCCCUGACACUGAGACACGAAGGCCAGGGGAGCAAACGGG
rnacentral:rRNA from 1 species